GGCGCGAUGGUCAAGCGGUUAAGACACCACCCUUUCACGGUGGUAACACGAGUUCGAGUCUCGUUCGCGUCA
rnacentral:tRNA from 2 species